rnacentral:rRNA from 1 species
AUGGUUGCCAAGAUACGAACUGAUAGUGCAAUUGAUCCAGAGUGGAAGUUUGACCAAGGGCGUGCAUGUAGAGCACUGGCAAAGUUGAUUGUGCUACAUGAAUUACCUUUCACUUUUGUUGAAUAUCCUGGCUUUAGAUCCUUUGUUAAGAUGUUGAAUCCAUGGUUCAACGUGGUAUGCAGGGAAACAAUUAAACAAGAUUGCAUUGAUGCAUAUGAUAGACACAAAAAUGAAAUUCAAGCAUUUUUUUUAGCAAUCUAA